UACGUAGGGGGCAAGCGUUGUCCGGAUUUAUUGGGCGUAAAGAGCGUGUAGGCGGUCAGGUAGGUCGGUUGUGAAAACUGGAGGCUCAACCUUCAGAGGUCGACCGAAACCCCCUGGCUAGAGUCCGGGAGAGGAGAGUGGAAUUCCUGGUGUAGCGGUGAAAUGCGCAGAUAUCAGGAAGAACACCCGUGGCGAAAGCGGCUCUCUGGAACGGUACUGACGCUGAGAAGCGAAAGCGUGGGGAGCGAACAGG
rnacentral:rRNA from 1 species